AAAGAUUAUAGAGUUAGGAAGAUAGGAAACCAAGCGUAUACACUUGCUGUAGCGCCACCUGGUGGUUCAAUUGUUGUACUAAGAUGCCAAGAAUGGUUAAAAUAUUUAUUCGACGGCCAUUUGGAGAAACAUAAUUUGACUUUUGUAAGAUUUGAAGAAACAUGGACGUUUUGUUUUGGUUCUCUUUCCGCUCGUCGUUUAUUUAGUUCAUUUAAGUCGUUUAUUAUUAGAGUUUUUUGUGUAUUUACUUAGUGAAAACUUCAAAAUCAAAGAAAAAUAUCUUUGCUCAAAAUGUCUUAUGGAAACUAUUGUAUGGUGAGGAACUGUGGAAACUGUAGUACGAAAGAUUCUCCGAAUAUAAGUUUUUUGAAUUUACCAUAAAUAUCUGAACUACUCUGAAGUGAAUGGGAUUUUCAGUAUGUCCAGACAUUAACUUGGUGAACUGCAGUAAAAAAGUUUCUCCUGGAAUACGUAGAGUCAUUAUAAUUUCUUUGAGGUUGCAUCUCCUAAAUACUGAGCAGAAAAAAGAAAUUUGUUCUCUGAUGUACGAUGAAAUUAGUCUAUCUGAAGAGUUGCACUUUGGCGAUCACCACGUUGUCUAUGCGUAAGUGGUGAGACAAGCUGAGGAUGGUAUAAAAGAGUAAGUCCAAAACUUCAAGUGAAAAAAACAGAGCAAUACAAAGUACUAGAGAAACCAACAGGUCGAAUUUGGGAAUAAUUUUUAAGUUUAAAUCUGAUUUUCUCAAAACCAAAUAAAAUGCACUUGUACUCCUGGGCUCUUAUACUACAAUUUUAUACAUUAGAAUAGAUACACGUAUUUCAAUUUAGCACUGAAUUUUAUCAUUUAUAGCUGGAUAUAUGUAUUAUUAGGUUGAUAUGCAAUUCAUGUUAUUAGUGAAGUUAUUUGCAUUUUGGAGUUGACUUGUUAUUCUUACAUAUCUUUACCGAUAUACAGGUUACACCUAUGUAAAUUUGUUUUUAAUUGUGGUUCUGAAAAUUCUGUAACUAAUAUGUAAAAGAAUUCUUGAGAUAUGUUGUAUCGAAUAUUUGUUCAUAUUAAUUUCUGAUAAAAAUUUUA